rnacentral:tRNA from 1 species
UAUUAGGCAGUGUAAGGGCACAUGGGACUUUGAAUCCUUAAGAAAGAGUAUUCUUCCUAGUAU